UGCAGAGAGGCAGCUCUCUUUUUUACAACUGGAAAGUGAGCGCGUGCGGUGUGUGCGUGUGGAACCAUGGGUCCAUUGGACCUGUGGUUCGGCAUUACAUAUGACCUGGGCCAUAAUUUCAGAUCCAUUAAGGAGGAGGAACCUACAGUUUGGAGGGAAAACCUCAACCCUGGAUUUCACAAGACUGGUGUUAUAUCAGAGAAGCACUGGCUCUUUCCAUUGGAUCCCAGAGCUAUCUCUGGAUGAGUGGGAAAGCCUUCCGCCUUUUUAAUCACUAUAAAAUAGGGGCCCAGUCCCCCACUACUUUGUCACCAGCAGAGUCAUGAAUAAAUUGCCAGACACCAUAUCACCAGCUGCUACUAGUGUCCAGAAAGGGAGAAGCUGAGGAACACUCUCUCAACCAAGGACCUGACUACUGCUACACUAAGCACACACAUAUGUAUUCCCUGCACUCUGUGUAUUCCAAGCCAACUCUGUGAGGAAACCGGAGAGGCUGGCUGAAGGAGCCAGUUCUGGUGACGGAAGAAAAGAGGAGGAGGAGGAAGCAAGCCCAGAAAUGGAAAGGCAGGAAAAUUAAAGUGAUCCUGUCAACAUCAUGCAGAAGAGAAUCAGAACCCCUGACUGCCGCUCUAACCUUUGAACUCUUGCCCUAACAAGGUAAUACUUUUGUGAGCAUCACCUUUGCAGGCACCACUGCAAACCAACUGAUUUAUAUGCACAUGUGAACUGGCUCUAAAUACGAAAUAGUACAAUGCAAGUUGUGUCUGGGGAUGCGAAAGCUCAGUUUUGAAAUGCUAAACUGAAAACACUACUAAUUUCAUUUUAAAAUAUCUUAUUAAAAUAUCUCAUUUUUCCCUACAUUCUCAGGAUUUUUCACCCUAACUUACAUAUGUCGAGAUAAAAAAUGUAUUUCAUAGGUUAUCAAAAAUCUCAUCCAGAGCUCAAUGAAAUGUAAAAACAUACACUCUCUUUGUCAUUUCCACUCUCAGUUUAGAUGGUAGGCAGCGGCUUCUUGGGAUAGGCACCUACUUUUCCCUCUUACAUUACUCUGUAAAUUGCCAAUGCAAUUAUAGUACUAUAGGCAUCAAUAACAAUAAUGAAUACUAACAAAAUAUGUACUUGUUUAGAUGCAUUUGUGGACUCUUUAUAAGUCUGCCCCAUUUUAGUUUUAAAGUGUUGUAGGGUUGUAAUGCCCAUUUGUAUGAAGAUUCAGUGCAUUUUUAUUGUUGAUUUGUCAGCUUUCCUGAGCAUCUUUCAGAAGUAGGCUUCUCCUUCUGGUAGAGGUAAGAUAUCAAUUUUAAAAAUAAAUACAUCAAUAAAUCAAGA